UACGUAGGUGGCGAGCGUUGUCCGGAUUUAUUGGGCGUAAAGCGCACGUAGGUGGUCUGUUAUGUCAGAUGUGAAAGCCCUCGGCUUAACUGAGGAAGUGCACCUGAAACUGGCAGGCUUGAGUACGAAAGAGGGUCGCGGAAUUCCCGGUGUAGAGGUGAAAUUCGUAGAUAUCGGGAGGAACACCGGUGGCGAAGGCGGCGACCUGGUUCGAUACUGACACUGAGGUGCGAAAGCGUGGGGAGCAAACGAGGAUUAGAGUA
rnacentral:rRNA from 1 species